rnacentral:rRNA from 1 species
GAUGAACGCUGGCGGUGUGCUUAACACAUGCAAGUCGAACGGCAACGCACUACUAGCUUGGUCUUCCCGAUUGCCGGUCGAGGGCGUAACAGGCAUGCAACCGGCUCUUGUUUUUCGGGGGGCAUCACGUAACGAGGGUUACGCUCAUACCGCAUACGCUGUACGGGUGUGGGCAUGGGAUCUUCGGAGCUUUCGCGGUUGGACGCGCCGCUGUCGGAUUAGCUAGUUGGCGGGGUAAAGGCCCACCAAGGGGACGAUCCGUAGCCGGUCGGGGAGGAGGAUCACCCACACUGGAACUGAGACACGGUCCAGACUCCUACGGGAGGCAGCAGUGGGGAAUAUUGGACAAUGGGCGCAAGCCUGAUCCAGCCAUACCGCGUGGGUGAAGAAGGCCUUCGGGUUGUAAAGCCCUUUUGUUGGGAAAGAAAAGCAGCAGGUUAAUACCCCGCUGUUCUGACGGUACCCAAAGAAUAAGCACCGGCUAACUUCGUG